rnacentral:rRNA from 1 species
GAUGAACGCUAGCGGCGUGCCUAAUACAUGCAAGUCGAGCGAACAGAUAAGGAGCUUGCUCCUUUGACGUUAGCGGCGGACGGGUGAGUAACACGUGGGUAACCUACCUAUAAGACUGGGAUAACUUCGGGAAACCGGAGCUAAUACCGGAUAAUAUUUCGAACCGCAUGGUUCGAUAGUGAAAGAUGGUUUUGCUAUCACUUAUAGAUGGACCCGCGCCGUAUUAGCUAGUUGGUAAGGUAACGGCUUACCAAGGCGACGAUACGUAGCCGACCUGAGAGGGUGAUCGGCCACACUGGAACUGAGACACGGUCCAGACUCCUACGGGAGGCAGCAGUAGGGAAUCUUCCGCAAUGGGCGAAAGCCUGACGGAGCAACGCCGCGUGAGUGAUGAAGGUCUUCGGAUCGUAAAACUCUGUUAUUAGGGAAGAACAUACGUGUAAGUAACUGUGCACGUCUUGACGGUACCUAAUCAGAAAGCCACGGCUAACUACGUG